UUGUGGACAAUUAUUUGUUUUGCACAAACUAUCAUAAUUUAGUUAAUAUGUUUCUUUCAUCAAUUUUUAGGCCAAAUUCUACCAAGAGUUGCAUAAGUCGCAUACUGAUGAUGACCCGAUAUCUUCGCCAGCGUUAUGAAAUGGAUAUUGCGCUGCACGGAUCGGCUCUGAGGAUUAUGCUAGACCGUGUCAACUAUAGUAGGACAAAUUUAUUCAUGAUGCAGGACAAACUAAAGCGAGAUGAAGAAUCAAUACAAGCUUUUGGAGCGACCCAGACUCUCUAUUAUGAAUUGAAAAGUAAAUUCCAAGAGUUGGAAAUGAAGUUGGUAUCUAACAGUGACUGGUAGAGGAAAUAUGACAAACUUACUGCAGAGCAUGACAAGCUUAAGUUGGAAGCUGAAAAGACAAAGGAAGCUCACAAAGUUGUUGCGAAGAAUCUUAGCUAUGCUUGCAAUGGUAACAAGUAUUUUUUAGAAAGUCUCCAAUCGACAAAAGUAGCUCUUUAAAAGGAGGUAGAGAUCUUACAUUCAGAUGCCAAGUUAGUCGAGCUUACAAUUUCAAGCAAAGAGAAGCUUUAUGCUCCAAAUUUGGCAGAUUUGGAAAAUCUUGAGAAUAUGCUGAGCAACUACGUUCUAACCAUGCAGUGGACUCAUCUCGCUUGAGUAAUGAAAUCACUCAACUCAACUCAAGGGUUCAAAAUCUGGAAAAGGAGCUUGAAAUGAGCUGUCUGGAUUGUACGAAAGCUCGAAUUUAUGAUAGAUAUCGCACCGAGCAGAAAAUGAGUAUUCUGGACAGGACUGGCUAAUCCAAUGUGAUGGUCAAAGCUUGAUGGAUAAACAAGAUUUUCUUUGAGGGUAUUGCGAUGAUCAUGGAUUGAUGGUGGGUUAGUAUAGUGCAGACGUCUAUAUAGAGAAAAUUGGCGACCUUGAAAUAUGUUAUCUUGAUGAGCACAUCCAAGCACUAAGGGAAGUUGGAAUCCAAUUGGGUUUAUAUACAAUGCAAGUGGCGCACCAUACCAAGGUGGAGUCAUUGAUAUACCAGAGUCAUCUAUUUAAAAAGAUACUUCUGAUCAACUUGUGGAAAGUUCGGCAAGAGAAGUUGGAGCGAGCAACGAAGCCCGAGCGUCGGAAGCUGGUACUGAACUACGCCAAACCUCGCCUACCAACACUUCUCCCAUAGAUUAUACUAAUGUGUCUCCUCUAAAUGCGUCAGGGGAUCAAGGAAACGAUGGUACUUAGUACCGAAUCUAACUUUUGUAGACAUUUCAACCCUCUUACUAUUUUUUAUAUUUUUGGAUAGAUGUGACAUGUUCAAAAUUUUGAUCAUAUGUUACAGAAACUAUCACAUUUACUAUAUUAUUUACUUGCUAUGAUUUUUGUA